rnacentral:pre_miRNA from 15 species
UAUGGACAACGAUUAUCUCAGUCCUGUGGCACUCAGCCCUGGGGGCACUUUCUGGUUCCUGAAUGAGGAAAGUGCUGCCAGAGUUGAGUAUCACUGGCUGGAGAAGAGCCAUCAGAUACUG